CACGUAGGCACCAAGCGUUAUCCGGAUUUAUUGGGCGUAAAGAGCUCGUAGGCGGUUCGGUAAGUCGGGUGUGAAAACUCUGGGCUCAACCCAGAGAGGCCACCCGAUACUGCUGUGACUAGAGUGCGGUAGGGGAGCGGGGAAUUCCUGGUGUAGCGGUGAGAUGCGCAGAUAUCAGGAGGAACACCGGUGGCGAAGGCGGGUCUCUGGGCCGUUACUGACGCUGAGGAGCGAAAGCGUGGGGAGCGAACAGG
rnacentral:rRNA from 1 species